rnacentral:rRNA from 1 species
UACGGGGGGGGCAAGCGUUGUUCGGAAUUACUGGGCGUAAAGGGCUCGUAGGUGGCCAACUAAGUCAGACGUGAAAUCCCUCGGCUUAACCGGGGAACUGCGUCUGAUACUGGAUGGCUUGAGUUUGGGAGAGGGAUGCGGAAUUCCAGGUGUAGCGGUGAAAUGCGUAGAUAUCGGAAGGAACACCUGUGGCGAAAGCGGCUCACUGGACCAUUACUGACGCUGAUGCACGAAAGCUAGGGGAGCAAACAGG